rnacentral:rRNA from 1 species
CCUACGGGGGGCUGCAGUGGGGAAUUUUUCGCAAUGGGCGCAAGCCUGACGACGCAACGCCGCGUGGAGGAUGAAGAUCUUCGGGUUGUAAACUCCUUUCGAUCGAGACGAAUGGCCCUUGGGCUAACAUCCCGAGGGAGUGACGGUACCGAGAGAAGAAGCCCCGGCUAACUCCGUGCCAGCAGCCGCGGUAAUACGGGGGGGGCAAGCGUUGUUCGGAAUUACUGGGCGUAAAGGGCUCGUAGGCGGCCAACUAAGUCAUACGUGAAAUCCCUCGGCUUAACCGGGGAACUGCGUCUGAUACUGGAUGGCUUGAGUUCGGGAGAGGGAUGCGGAAUUCCAGGUGUAGCGGUGAAAUGCGUAGAUAUCUGGAGGAACACCGGUGGCGAAGGCGGCAUCCUGGACCGAUACUGACGCUGAGGAGCGAAAGCCAGGGGAGCAAACGGGAUUAGAUACCCCUGUAGUC